GAUGAACGCUGGCGGCGUGCCUAAUACAUGCAAGUCGAGCGAAUGGAUUAAGAGCUUGCUCUUAUGAAGUUAGCGGCGGACGGGUGAGUAACACGUGGGUAACCUGCCCAUAAGACUGGGAUAACUCCGGGAAACCGGGGCUAAUACCGGAUAACAUUUUGAACCGCAUGGUUCGAAAUUGAGAGGCGGCUUCGGCUGUCACUUAUGGAUGGACCCGCGUCGCAUUAGCUAGUUGGUGAGGUAACGGCUCACCAAGGCAACGAUGCGUAGCCGACCUGAGAGGGUGAUCGGCCACACUGGGACUGAGACACGGCCCAGACUCCUACGGGAGGCAGCAGUGGGGAAUUGUUCGCAAUGGGCGCAAGCCUGACGACGCAACGCCGCGUGGAGGACGAAGAUCUUCGGGUCGUAAACUCCUGUCGAGCGGGACGAACGAACUGCGGGGAAAUACCCCGUGGAAGUGACGGUACCGCUAAAGGAAGCCCCGGCUAACUCCGUGCCAGCCGCCGCAGUAA
rnacentral:rRNA from 1 species